CCAGACUCCUACGGGAGGCAGCAGUGGGGAAUAUUGGGCAAUGGGCGCAAGCCUGACCCAGCAACGCCGCAUGAAGGAAGAAGGCUUUCGGGUUGUAAACUUCUUUUCUCAGGGACGAAGAAAGUGACGGUACCUGAGGAAUAAGCCACGGCUAACUACGUGCCAGCAGCCGCGGUAAUACGUAGGUGGCAAGCGUUAUCCGGAUUUACUGGGUGUAAAGGGCGUGUAGGCGGGAGUGCAAGUCAGAUGUGAAAACCACGGGCUCAACCUGUGGCCUGCAUUUGAAACUGUACUUCUUGAGUACUGGAGAGGCAGACGGAAUUCCUAGUGUAGCGGUGAAAUGCGUAGAUAUUAGGAGGAACACCAGUGGCGAAGGCGGUUUGCUGGACAGCAACUGACGCUGAGGCGCGAAAGCGUGGGGAGCAAACAGGAUUAGAUACCCCAGUAG
rnacentral:rRNA from 1 species